rnacentral:snRNA from 1 species
UCGGUCUCAACCAGCCCGUA